CCUACGGGAGGCAGCAGUAGGGAAUAUUGCACAAUGGGGGAAACCCUGAUGCAGCAACGCCGCGUGGGGGAUGAAGGUUUUCGGAUUGUAAACUCCUUUUGUCAGGGAAGAUAAUGACGGUAUCUAACGAAUAAGCACCGGCUAACUCCGUGCCAGCAGCCGCGGUAAUACGGAGGGUGCAAGCGUUAAGCGGAAUCACUGGGCGUAAAGAGCGCGUAGGCGGGAUAGCAAGUCAGAUGUGAAAUCCUAUGGCUUAACCAUAGAACUGCAUUUGAAACUGUUAUUCUAGAGUACGGGAGAGGUAGGUGGAAUUCUUGGGGUAGGGGUAAAAUGCGUAGAGAUGAAGAGGAAUACUAGUGGCGAAGGCGACCUGCUAGAACAUAACUGACGCUGAGGCGCGAAAGCGUGGGGAGCAAACAGGAUUAGAUACCCUUGUAGUC
rnacentral:rRNA from 1 species